CAACUCCACCUCAUUGUUAGUCCAUUUAAAAAAACUCGGUGCUUUUCCUCAAAGUUUUGCCACGACUUUUCAAAGAGCCAGAAAGUAAAUGAACGGCAGACAGAAAUGAGUAUGGCUUCCACCAAGUCACCCUCCUGGAUCUGAGAAGCAGAGCGUAGUAGCUGCAGCACGUUGUCUGAUGUAGGAUCAUGACGGAAUAGGAGGAUCUUCUCAUACAUCCCAUAGAAGCCGCACUCUGUUUUCUGUUAUUUUCCAGUCUCCUUAUGGUCAUUUCAUGUGGGUAUUUUGUGUCUCUGUAAGAGCCUUUUUAUCUGUGCACAACCGGUUCCAUUCUGCUGCACAAACCUGUGAAUGAGGACAAUGUCAUCAGUUGACUGCUCUGAAAAUAAAAACAU